CCAAAUAAUAUUUAAAUUUCUUUUUUUAACUUCAUAUUUGUUCAAAUUUAUGCUGUUUAGUUUCUACAUCUUUGUACAGUUUACAAAACUCCGUUGCUGCUGACAUCAAGUUUCACUUCAUUAUGAUCAGGAUCUCAUUAUGUAUCCCUGGCUGUCCAGGAACUCACUGUGUAGAUCAAAAUGGCCUCAAACUCACAAUGAUUUCCUUUCUUUUGCUUCCCAAGCAAAAGAAAUUUUGAAAAAUUUAAAAUAUACUUUUGGUAUACUAUAUAGUCUAUUGUAAAGUUCCAUGUGUUUUUAUUAAAGAAAAUAUUAUCUGUAUCUUAAAAAAGAAUGUAUAUUCUAUAGCUAUUGAAUCAAAGACUCAGUAAUUGUCUAUGUCUGUUGAUCUAUAACAUAGUUUAACUCUGAUGCUUCUUUGUGGUAGUUUUUCUGCUCUGGAUAAUGUACUCAUGAUAAGAGUGAGGAACUGAAAUUCUGCAUUAAUAGUAUACUGGAGUGCACUUCUUCCCUAAUGGUGCUUGUUUUAUAGAGUUGGGUGUUCUAAUAUUAGAUUCACCCAUGCUCAUAAUAAUUAUUUUAUCUUUUUUUUUUUUACUGAUUUCUAUAUUAUUAUACAAUGGCCUUGUUGCCAGUUUUCAUUUUUUCCUUUAAAAUUUAGUGUUUUCUUAUGUACAUUUAGCUAUUCCAUAUAGCCUUUUGAUUCCAUGUGUUUGUAGUAUAGCUUUGCAAUCUUUUCUUUCUAUCUCUGUGUAUCUUACUGCUGAAGUGAGUUUCUCACAGGUAGUAUGUUGGAUGUUUUGUUUAUCUACUCAGCCAAUCUGUGUAUUUUAAUUGAAGAAUUUAGUCUAUUUAUGUUCAAUGUCAUUAUUGAAGGGUAUAGACUUUUGCUAUCCUUUUGUUGUUCUUCUAAUUGUUUUGAAUGUUGUUAUUUUCUUUAAUUUGUAUUUACAUUUUCAGUUUUACUGAAUUUACAUGUUUGAUUCAUUUUAAAAUAUUCUUUUUGCAUGUACUCUUUUAUAAUUUUUAUUUUCACAUUAUAUCAAAAUGACAAUUAGUUUUCUUUCAGUUAUGGAUGUAGGACUCCCUUAAAUGUCUUUUGUAAGACUGCUUUGGUGAUCAUGAGUUGUCCUAAUCUUUGGUUGUCUCUCAGAGUUAUUAUUCUUUAUUUUUAGAAGAUAACCUGGCUAGGAAUAGCAAUAUUGGUUAGCAAUAUUCAGGACAUGAAAACAUUACUUAUUGGAAUGUAAAGUUUCUGCAAAGAAAUCUGUUGUUAAUCUAAUGGAAAUGACUUUAUAUGUAACUUCACACUUUUUUUUCUUUUAAACAUUAAAGUCUACCUUUGUAUGCUCA